AUAUGAGGAACAACAAAAGAGAACAAGCAGAAAAGAGAAAGUUGAAGCUCUUCUGCGUAUUCAUUGAGUGUUGCGGUGUGUUGGAUGCUGUGAAGGCCUCAGUGAGUGUGUCUCGACUCUGUGGAGUGGUUCUUCUCACUUGGACAGACGCUGGGAGAAAGGCCGAGUGUCCCGCCGAGUAGCAACAAACCUGUGUGAAGGAAGAACCUGAUCUCCGACCCGUUCGUCCAGGUGAUUAUACCCACGGUUUGUUCCCUGAGAGCGUUUGAGGUGCUGUAUAGCCCAGUGUGCUCCGAAGCGGUGAGCCGGACUGUGUUUAGCUGGAGAUCUGUGUCCAGGUGGAGGACGGUCAUCUCUUCUGAAGUCUGUCCAGUCAUGCUCUGGGCUUCCAGCAGGAGCAUCAGAUCUCACAGGAGGAAGGAGAAGCUCUAACUGCGGAAGAAGAGCUGUUUCAGGAUAAUCGACUUCUUCCAGGUCAUCUCUUCAUCUCAG